rnacentral:rRNA from 1 species
UACGUAGGGGUGCAAGCGUUAUCCGGAAUUAUUGGGCGUAAAGAGCUCGUAGGCGGUUUGUCACGUCUGCUGUGAAAACUGGAGGCUCAACCUCCAGCCUGCAGUGGGUUACGGGACAGACUAGAGUGCGGUAGGGGAGAUUGGAAUUCCUGGUGUAGCGGUGGAAUGCGCAGAUAUCAGGAGGAACACCAAUAGCGAAGGCAGCUCGCUGGGACGUUACUGACGCUGAGGCGCGAAAGCGUGGGGAGCGAACAGG